rnacentral:rRNA from 1 species
AACGAACGCUGGCGGCAUGCCUAACACAUGCAAGUCGAACGAGACCUUCGGGUCUAGUGGCGCACGGGUGCGUAACGCGUGGGAACCUUCCCUUAGGUUCGGAAUAACUCCCCGAAAGGGGUGCUAACACCGGAUAAUUUCUUCUGACCAAACAUAUAUCGCCUUUGGAUGGGCCCGCGUUGGAUUAGCUUGUUGGUAGUGUAAAAGCCUAUCAAGGCGACGAUCCAUAGCUGGUUUGAGAGGAUGAUCAGCCACACUGAGACUGAGACGCGGCCCAGACUCCUACGCGAGGCAGCAGUGGGGAAUACUGGAAAAUCGGCGAAAGGAUGAUCGAGCAAUGGCGCGUGAGUGAUGAAGGUGUUAGAGUUGUAAAGCUCUUUUACCCGGGAUGAUAAUGACAGUACCGGGAGAAUAAGCUCCGGCUAACUCCGUG